rnacentral:rRNA from 1 species
GAAGAAGGCCUUCGGGUUGUAAAGCACUUUCAGUCGUGAGGAAGGCGGUGUAGUUAAUAGCUGCAUCGUUUGACGUUAGCGACAGAAGAAGCACCGGCUAACUCCGUGCCAGCAGCCGCGGUAAUACGGAGGGUGCGAGCGUUAAUCGGAAUUACUGGGCGUAAAGCGCAUGCAGGUGGUUUGUUAAGUCAGAUGUGAAAGCCCGGGGCUCAACCUCGGAAUUGCAUUUGAAACUGGCAGACUAGAGUACUGUAGAGGGGGGUAGAAUUUCAGGUGUAGCGGUGAAAUGCGUAGAGAUCUGAAGGAAUACCGGUGGCGAAGGCGGCCCCCUGGACAGAUACUGACACUCAGAUGCGAAAGCGUGGGGAGCAAACAGGAUUAGAUACCCUGGUAGUCCACGCCGUAAACGAUGUCUACUUGGAGGUUGUGGCCUUGAGCCGUGGCUUUCGGAGCUAACGCGUUAAGUAGACCGCCUGGGGAGUACGGUCGCAAGAUUAAAACUCAAAUGAAUUGACGGGGGCCCGCACAAGCGGUGGAGCAUGUGGUUUAAUUCGAUGCAACGCGAAGAACCUUACCUACUCUUGACAUCCAGAGAACUUUCCAGAGAUGGAUUGGUGCCUUCGGGAACUCUGAGACAGGUGCUGCAUGGCUGUCGUCAGCUCGUGUUGUGAAAUGUUGGGUUAAGUCCCGCAACGAGCGCAACCCUUAUCCUUGUUUGCCAGCGAGUAAUGUCGGGAACUCCAGGGAGACUGCCGGUGAUAAACCGGAGGAAGGUGGGGACGACGUCAAGUCAUCAUGGCCCUUACGAGUAGGGCUACACACGUGCUACAAUGGCGCAUACAGAGGGCAGCCAACUUGCGAAAGUGAGCGAAUCCCAAAAAGUGCGUCGUAGUCCGGAUUGGAGUCUGCAACUCGACUCCAUGAAGUCGGAAUCGCUAGUAAUCGUGGAUCAGAAUGCCACGGUGAAUACGUUCCCGGGCCUUGUACACACCGCCCGUCACACCAUGGGAGUGGGCUGCAAAAGAAGUAGGUAGUUUAACCUUCGGGGGGACGCUUACCACUUUGUGGUUCAUGACUGGGGUGAAGUCGUAACAAGGUAGCGCUAGGGGAACCUGGCGCUGGAUCACCUCCUUAAACGAUGAU